rnacentral:rRNA from 1 species
UAAGACGAACCGUGCGAACGUUAUUCGGAAUCACUGGGCUUAAAGGGCGCGUAGGCGGGCUCGUAAGUCAGGGGUGAAAUCCCACGGCCCAACCGUGGAAGUGCCUCUGAUACUGCGGGCCUCGAGGGGGAUAGGGGCGUGCGGAACUCAGGGUGGAGCGGUGAAAUGCGUAGAUAUCCUGAGGAACACCGGUGGCGAAAGCGGCGCGCUGGAUCCCUUCUGACGCUGAGGCGCGAAAGCCAGGGGAGCAAACGGG